rnacentral:rRNA from 1 species
UACGGGGGGGGCAAGCGUUGUUCGGAAUUACUGGGCGUAAAGGGCUCGUAGGCGGCCAACUAAGUCGGACGUGAAAUCCCCAGGCUCAACCUGGGAACUGCGUCCGAUACUGGAUGGCUUGAAUCCGGGAGAGGGAUGCAGAAUUCCUGGUGUAGCGGUGAAAUGCGUAGAUAUCAGGAGGAACACCGGUGGUGUAGACGGCUUUCUGGACCGUAACUGACGCUGAGACACGAAAGCGUGGGUAGCAAACAGG